UACGAAGGGGGCUAGCGUUGUCCGGAAUUAUUGGGCGUAAAGAGCUCGUAGGCGGUCAGUCGCGUCUGCUGUGAAAACUCGGGGCUUAACUCCGGGCCUGCAGUGGGUACGGGCUGACUAGAGUGCGGUAGGGGAGACUGGAAUUCCUGGUGUAGCGGUGAAAUGCGUAGAUAUCAGGAGGAACACCGGUGGCGAAGGCGGCCCUCUGGACGGUGACUGACGCUGAGACGCGAAAGCGUGGGGAGCAAACAGG
rnacentral:rRNA from 1 species